ACGGGAGGCAGCAGUGGGGAAUAUUGCGCAAUGGGCGAAAGCCUGACGCAGCGACGCCGCGUGAGGGAUGACGGCCUUCGGGUUGUAAACCUCUUUCAGCAGGGACGAAGCGGAAGUGACGGUACCUGCAGAAGAAGCACCGGCCAACUACGUGCCAGCAGCCGCGGUAAUACGUAGGGUGCAAGCGUUGUCCGGAAUUAUUGGGCGUAAAGAGCUCGUAGGCGGUUUGUUGCGUCGGCUGUGAAAACCUGAGGCUCAACCUCAGGCCUGCAGUCGAUACGAGCAGACUAGAGUGUUGCAGGGGAGACUGGAAUUCCUGGUGUAGCGGUGAAAUGCGCAGAUAUCAGGAGGAACACCGGUGGCGAAGGCGGUUCUCUGGGCAUUACCUGACGCUGAGAAGCGAAAGC
rnacentral:rRNA from 1 species